rnacentral:rRNA from 1 species
UACGUAGGUGGCGAGCGUUGUCCGGAAUUACUGGGCGUAAAGGGCGCGUAGGCGGCUUUUUAAGUUAGAUGUGAAAACCCGGGGCUUAACUUCGGACGUGCAUUUAAAACUGGAGAGCUUGAGUGCAGGAGAGGUAAGUGGAAUUCCUAGUGUAGCGGUGAAAUGCGUAGAUAUUAGGAGGAACACCAGUGGCGAAGGCGACUUACUGGACUGUAACUGACGCUGAGGCGCGAAAGCGUGGGGAGCAAACAGG